rnacentral:misc_RNA from 1 species
GAAAACAUCAGAAUCUGAGCGCGCGGACAAAGCUGAAAGUGAUGUUCGGAAUCUAAAAGAUAGUCUCUCUAAAUUGUCUUUUGAGAACGAAGACAUAACUCUUGAAUACAAGCAAGCAGUUGAAAGGAUAGCUUCUAUGGAAACCAAAAUGUCUCAGAUACAGGAUGAGUUUAAGAAACUCAAUGAUGUGAUUGUUUUGGAGGCUAUGAAGUUGGAU